AAACUGUGCACGCAUAAUUUGAAGGAGAUGCCAGAACUCUUUUCUUUCUUCAUAUAUUUAUGUACAUGGACAUUUUUUUUCAGCUUGCUUCACAGAGACCAGUGGCUGAAUCACAAAAUCCAUCACGAUCGAGCAACUGCUGAGGUGGAGCGCUAAGCAGAGGAGACGAUGGACUUCCAUAUGCAUUUCGUCUACUAUUCCCACAGCCUAGACUUUUUCUGGUGCUAACUCCUGUCACGGGGUUAGUCCCACUAGCAUACUUGCAAAGUGCCUGUUUCUGCAGGAGGUCUAUAACAGCAUCACUGAAAUCAGCACCUUCAAUGAUGGCACCACCAAGGUCACUCCGAGUCAAAACAGAUCGAACAAGAACAGCAUUAGUGAGAUUAGCUUCAUUAAGUACCAUCCGAUCCAUCAAUGUGUCACUCAAAUCUGCACCUGAGAAGUUCGCUUUAUAUGCAACUGCUUUCUCUAGGUAUGCACCAUUGAACGUUGAACCACUGAAAUCCGAUUCCCUCAUAUCAGCAGAUGU
rnacentral:misc_RNA from 1 species